AUGGCGGCAGCGGCUGGAGAGGCCCCGCGGGCGCUGUCCCAGAAGGAGCAGGACAUACAGAUGAUGCUCGCCGCCGACGUCCACCUCGGCACCAAGAACUGCGACUUCCAGAUGGAGCGCUACGCCUACAAGCGCCGCUCCGACGGCAUCUACAUCAUCAAUCUGGGCAAGACGUGGGAGAAGCUCCAGCUCGCGGCGAGGGUCAUCGUCGCCAUCGAGAACCCCCAGGACAUCAUCGUCCAGUCCGCCCGCCCCUACGGCCAGCGCGCCGUCCUCAAGUUCGCGCAGCACACCGGCGCCAACGCCAUCGCCGGGAGGCACACCCCUGGUACCUUCACCAACCAGAUGCAGACCUCCUUCAGCGAGCCCCGGCUGCUCAUCCUCACCGACCCAAGGACCGACCACCAGCCCAUCAAGGAGUCUGCUCUGGGGAACAUCCCUACCAUUGCCUUCUGUGACACCGACUCUCCCAUGCGAUACGUCGAUAUCGGUAUCCCAGCAAACAACAAGGGGAGGAACAGCAUUGGCUGCCUCUACUGGCUCUUGGCCAGGAUGGUUCUGCAGAUGAGGGGCACCAUCCUGCCAGGGCACAAGUGGGAUGUCAUGGUUGAUCUGUUCUUCUACAGGGACCCUGAGGAAGCCAAGGAGCAGGAGGAUGAAGCUGCUGGAGCCCCAGAGUAUGCUGCCAUCACUGAUUACGGAGCAGCAGCUGGUCAAUGGGGUGGUGACCAGUGGACCUCUGAUGCGCCUGCUCCCCCACCUGUUACUGCUCCAGUUGCUGGUGGCGAUGGAUGGGAUGCAGCAGGGGCACCUGUUGCUGUGGAAGGUGCCGUCCCUGCUCCUGUUGUGGCUGCUACUGGCUGGGACGCCGCGGUGCAACCCCCUGCUCAAGGCUGGGAGUAG
rnacentral:rRNA from 1 species